AUUGAACGCUGGCGGCAGGCCUAACACAUGCAAGUCGAACGAGUGGCGGACGGGUGAGUAAUGUCUGGGAAACUGCCUGAUGGAGGGGGAUAACUACUGGAAACGGUAGCUAAUACCGCAUACCCUCGGAUGUGCCCAGAUGGGAUUAGCUAGUAGGUGAGGUAACGGCUCACCUAGGCGACGAUGCCUAGCUGGUCUGAGAGGAUGACAAACCACACUGGAACUGAGACACGGUCCAGACUCCUACGGGAGGCAGCAGUGGGGAAUAUUGCACAAUGGGCGCAAGACUGAUGCAGCCAUGCCGCGUGUAUGAAGAAGGCCUUCGGGUUGUAAAGCACUUGCAGCGGGGAGGCGUUACCCGCAGAAGAAGCACCGGCAAACUCCGUGCCAGCAGCCGCGGUAAUUC
rnacentral:rRNA from 1 species